GACAGCUGGGAUAGGCUCCAGCAAGCCCUUGUGAGGAUAAAGCAGAUCAGAAAAUGGAUGGAUGGAUUAUUUAGUGUGCACCGGUGAGUAUUUGGUGCACACGAGCUGUAGCGUCAGGUGCAAACAUGGUGAGAUCUGGUACAACCGUUUUAGUAUCUGGUCCGCACACGGUCGGUCUCUGAUGACCACGUGUUGACAUUUGGCUCGUACGCGUUAGCAUCUGGUGCACACUAGUUGGUAUGUGGUGGUCACUUAUUAGUGUCAGGUGCCUACACAAUAGCAUCUGGUGUACAUGCUGCUCCAGCCAGUGGGCACAUGUUAGUAUCUCGUGCGCACAAGUGAAUUAACUUCCCGAUCCACCUUGGUAUCUGCGGAACACGUGUUGAAAUUUGGUUCGCAUAUGUCAGUAUCUGGUGUCAACAAAUUAGCGUGAGCCGCAUACAGUACGUAACAGCUUUGGUAUGGAGUGUUCACAAGUCAGUAUCUUGGGAGCGUGCAUGUUCAGUUUUGGCAUGCCAACGUUACUUUGCAUCGUAUCGUUGCAAUUUCAAAGGUGAGCUUGCUAACAGUGGUUGCUAGCUUACGCUCAUGCCGGCUUGGUUUGGUGUUCAUGCAUGUCGUAAUUUCUCACACACACUUUGGACGGUUCGGACCGUGCUGAAUGACCGCGGUUAUACUCGCUCGAUACAGACAAGUGUAGCUGUCAUAGCGCGUAUUAUUUUUGUUUCAGGUGAUUACAAAGCUCUCCAUAGGACUAAAAUGUCAAUGUGUUUGCUUAUGUGACUGUUGUUUAUUGUUUCACAGACACGAUUCCUUAAGUUCAUAACUCGAACGAUGUGACGUCAUUGACAGUGACAUUCAAACUUGAAUGUUAUUUUCUUUGCAAAGGCUCCUUCUUUUGGAUAGCUUUACAUAAUAUGGAAAGAUACCCAGCAUAUUGCAGCAGAUCUGCAGCGGAUUUUAUUUUUUUCCUCUCUUUGCCCCCACUGACUCGUUGCCCUCUCUUUGGCCUCCUACACUGCCUUGUAACUGGACUGGUGCCAGACACCUGCAAAUGGUGCCCGACUCACUGAUCUGCUUCAAAGUGGCACGCGUGACUGUGAAGGUCAGCACGUUCUAACCCAGUGCAGUGCGGGAACCACUGCACUGAUCUUGAUAAAUGCUUAUUGAUUCCUCGCAGUAAGAAAAAGAAAUAGUUUAUGAUUCACUCUGGUGCAGCAGCAAUGGAGGAAAAUUAGAAAUGAGCAUUCGUCUCUUCCUAUGCUCCGUUGCACUGUAAUCCCUCCCCCUUGGGAGAGAGCUAUGCAGUCCGGAUGAGGUUUAUGGGGACUCGAGAUCAGGCUCUUGCCAUUACUCACCACUUCCUUACAUCUCAAGUGCCACCCGGCACACACGGGGCAAUUUCUGUUGGGUGAUGUGAGCUGAGAUGAAAGUGACUCAGUGAACUCACAACAGUGUUAUGUAAUGAUGAGGAGAACUAGCAACGUCGAGAUUACUAAUAAACAUUGGACAUAGGGCCAGUAAUCUGCAGCUCCAUCUGGACCCCUGGAGGGGUUGCAUAACCCACAUCAGCUCGUAAAACCAUCACAAAAGGAAUCAAAAGUUAAUCUGUCUUUUGGGUCAUGCAUGUGCACACACACACCCAGGCGCAUUGUUGGAAAGGCAAUUUGUUCAAUGUUUAUACUAACACAAAGACGUGCAGAUUAUGGGUGUGUGGUAUUUUAUUUUUCCUGCGAAUGAAUAAUUGAUAACAAAACUGUACCGGUAAUCACUU